UCCGAGUCAGGACAGUGGUGGCUGUGACCUGCUCUGAGUUGACAGUGUGGGACUUCACCUGAGCCCCGUGCUCUCCGAAACUCCAGAGGUUAAGUGCCCCACCCUGUGCUCCAGCAAAGAGCUACGGCACGACGUCCCUGCCCUGUGGACUUAGACCAGCUGUGCCCGUGCCCCUGUUAACUUGCGUCAGGCCAGGCACGGACCUCCAGGUUCCCAUUCUCUGCCCAUAAAAGAUUAGCCAAACUGGACCACACGGACGGCUGGACAAAAUGCCGGCAGUGAGCCGGACCGAUUUCAGUCGGGCCUCCCCACCCCGCAACAGGCCCAACUGUGCCCAGCCCCGCGGUGGGCAAGAGCCCACUGCACAGCCCUCCUGAGGACCAGCGGGCACAAACCAGAUGCCCCCUGCUCAUGACCCAUCCAGCCCUGCACCCUGUGUGCUCCUCCCUAAAGGAAACACCUUUCCCCUUACCUUUGAGACGCUCCAGAUCUUACACUGAAUUAACCCCCUCCUGAUAUGACAGCCCCUCCCCUGUUGUAACAAGUCCUCCCCGUGCAAUAGCCCCUCCCCCAUAUUCAUAGCCCCGCCCCUGUUGUAAUAACCCCGCCUCUAUAUUCAUAGCCUCUCCCCGUAAUAGCCCCGCCCAUAGUAAUAGCCCCGCCCCUGUUGUAAUAGCCCCUCCUCUAUAUUCAUAGCCUCUCCCCGUAAUAGCCCCGCCCAUAGUAAUAGCCCCGCCCCUGUUGUAAUAGCCCCUCCCCCAUUGUAGUAGCCCCUUCCAUAGCAAUAGCCCCUCCCCAAUUGUUACAGCCCCUUUCCUGCUCUAACGACUCCUCCCCCUAUGGUUAUGGCUCCUCCUCUGCUACAACAGCCCCUCUUCUGUUGUCAUGGUCCCCACCUCUGUUGUAACAGCCCCUCUCUUAUUGCAAUAGCCUCCCCACCCCCGCAGUCAUCUUCAAAUCAAGCGUCUCCUUCCCCAGCCCUGACUCACUCUCCAUCUGACACAGGCGUCAGUCCCAGGCACAGGGCAACAGUGCCCCAUGGGACGCGAGCCUCCCUGGGCUUCCCUGCGGGGAUUUUCUAGAGUCAAAGGGCUGAGCCCCUACUCUCCUAAAAUCCACAAGGUGUCCCGUGAGCCCCUCACCACCUGAAUAUGGUGGCCUAGGGGGGGGUCUCUUCACUUGGCGGGGGAGUCCCCACACUCCACCUCGUGCUGGCUGCCCCCGCCCGUCCGCUCAGCCGCCUGGGGUGGUGCAUGACUGCAGGGCUCAACGGAGGCAGAUUGUGCCACGGAGGUGCUCCAGCAGCAUGAGGCAGGUUCCUGGAAAGCUGGGCCGCGUGGGAGUGGACGGCCAAGACCCUGGCCCAGCGCCGGGCCUGGCGGGCGCUCAGCAAAUGCCACUGGAGCCUGAGAGACCCCGAUGGGGACACUGCCAUCCCCAGUGAGCCGUGAGGUGCUGAGGCAAGCGCGCGGCGCUCAGCCAAUUUCCAGAAGAACGCGCAUCCCUCCUAGAACAUCCACUUAAAAUUACAUUAAAAAAUUAACAAGCUGGUCUUGGAGCGGAGGAAUGGGUUUCGGCACAGAAGGAGAGAAAAAUCGGAAAAAAACGGGUUCUUCCAGCCCAAUUUCCCUCAUAAUUGGGUGUCUUUUUGAGCUGGCUAAUUAAACGGCAUUUUCCCCGA